rnacentral:rRNA from 1 species
CGGAACCCCAAACCAAAAACAACCAAGAAGGAAACCCGAACAGGGGAUAAUCCCAGAAGGGUGAAGAUGCCUGUAAUGGAUCUUCAUUUAAAGGCUCCGGCGCCUAAGGAUGGSUCUGCGGCAGAUUAGGUAGUUGGUAGGGUAAUGGCUUACCAAGCCGAUAAUCUGUACGGGUUGUGAGAGCAAGACCCCGGAGAUGGAACCUGAGACAAGGUUCCACGCCCUACGGGGCGCACAGGCGCGAAACCUCCGCAAUGCACGGAAGUCGACGGGGGGACCCAAGUSCCACUCUUAACGGGGUGGCUCUUCUUGAGUGUAAAAAGCUUUUGGAAUAASASCCGGGCAAGACCCGUGCCACCCGCCGCGGUAACACCGGCAGCUCAAGUGGUAGCCAUUUUUAUUGGSCCUAAAGCGUUCGUAGCCGGUUUGAUAAGUCUCUGGUGAAAUCCCACAGCUUAACUGUGGGAAUUGCUGGACACACUAUUAGACUUGAGGUUGGGAGAGGUUAGCGGUACUCCCAGGGUAGGGGUGAAAUCCUGUAAUCCUGGGAGGACCACCUGUKGCGAA